rnacentral:rRNA from 1 species
GUGCCUAAUACAUGCAAGUCGAGCGUGAGCACUUUGGUGCUUAGCGGCGGACGGGUGAGUAACACGUAGGCAACCUGCCUAUAAGACUGGGAUAACUAUCGGAAACGAUAGCUAAGACCGGAUAACUGGUUUUCUCGCAUGAGAGAGUCAUGAAACACGGAGCAAUCUGUGGCUUAUAGAUGGGCCUGCGGCGCAUUAGCUAGUUGGUGAGGUAACGGCUCACCAAGGCGACGAUGCGUAGCCGACCUGAGAGGGUGAACGGCCACACUGGGACUGAGACACGGCCCAGACUCCUACGGGAGGCAGCAGUAGGGAAUCUUCCGCAAUGGACGCAAGUCUGACGGAGCAACGCCGCGUGAGUGAUGAAGGUUUUCGGAUCGUAAAGCUCUGUUGCCCUAGACGACAGCAAGGCGAGUAACUGCGCUUUGUGUGACGGUAUAGGAGAAGAAAGCCCCGGCUAACUACGUGCCAGCAGCCGC